ensembl:snoRNA
AUCAUUUUGUAAUUCAUAGACGUGAUGUGAUGAUUGGGUGUUCCUAUGCAUGUGUGAGAUGUGCCACCUUCAAACCUUGUUACUGUA